UGAGCAUUUUGAGUGUUAAAUGAGAAAAAUAAUGCUAAUAAAAGAAAAAUAUAUAUGAGAGACAGCCAAUGAAGGGAAAAGCUAGUAUAUAUAUAUGUAUUACCAUAUAUGCAGGUGCUUUUUUCUAACUUUUUCUAAUAUAUGUUUUAAUGGGGAAAUCCCGCCAAAACGAACCACAUAAGUUAACACAUGUGUAUUGACAAUAUAUGCAGGUGGUUUUUGAUUGGAAAAGUACUUGUACAAAGCGCAAGUAGUUAAAUUUUUUUCUAAUUGUAGUUAAUAUAUGUUUUAGUGGGGAAAUUACGCCAAAAUGAAUGAAAAGGAGGAAGGGUCAACGGAAUUUUAGUUUUAAACCCGUUGUGGGUUUACUAUUUUUCGUAUAAAUAUAAUAUAAAUGUUAGUUAAAAGGAAGUGUCGCGUUCGCGAAUGUGUUGCAGAAUCAGAAAGAUUGUUUUCGUUUCCCAAAAACGAGGAGGACCUCCAAAAGUGGGUGGAAAACCUGAAAAUCCCACCACCGCUGGAUUUACCCGCCCACAAUGCAUUCGUUUGCAUUAAACACUUCGAGCGAAGUGCAGUGGGCGUGAGAAAAUUGAAGGCACAUGCUGUGCCCACCCUCAACCUUGUGAAGUAUCCAUGGUUUUUUAAAACUGCUGUGCAAAGUCUAACGAUUGUUUGUAUCACAUAAAAAUAAUUGAGUAAGAUAUAGGAAGAUAUAUAUACAUAAAUGAUCAGGAUGAAGAGACGAGUUGAAAUCCGGGUGACUGUCUGUCCGUCCGCUUUUAGCAUCUUUAUCGACGGUGUGAAAAUAGGUGAAAUCUAAAACGAGUAUGGUAUACUUUGCGAGAGGUCUUCGAAGUGUGUCGACUGCAAAUGAUGUGGUACGUCAAGCUCUUCAACGAAUAUGCUCAUUAUUCUAAUGUUCGUUGUCUGAUGUUGUCUGCUAUACAACAAAGAACCGAACGGGUUUUUCCUGAAUGGUUUAAUAAGUCCGAUGGGUGUUCUGCUCAUAAAACCAAACUUUUGGAAUAUUUAGUGACCGUUCUUCUGUUUAAAAAUUCAAAAUGGUUGGUGAAAGACGAAAUAAAUAGGGAACGACAUCGGAAGCGCGAUGAUAAAAUAAAAAAAACUUUAGUAAGUUGCAAGUCAGAGCCUGUUCAUUAACGAACAUUCUACUUUCGGGUGAGUAAUGAACUAACCAAAUGAAGAGAAUAUUUACGUUUUUUUAAUGUUUUGCUAUUUAUUCUAUUUACAGGUUCUUUUUUUCUUUUCAGCUCCUUUAUAUUUUCAGCUUUUCUUCUAAUUUCAAUUUUAUUUUAUAUUUCCAGGUUUUUUUCAUUUUUCUUUUUAUUACUGUUUCAACUGAGCCUAGCUUUUUUAAACAUUAAUAUUGCACUUAAUCAAGAUGGAUUAAAUUGUGUUUAAAAAAGCAGGUGAAAUUAAUUGACUUAAUUUAAUUGUUAAGUCGUGUGAGAAAUUUCCAUUUGAAAUGGAAAAUUUCGUAAAUCAGUUUUUAUA